UUCCUCCGUAUCCCGGUGGUUUUUGGAAUUCGACAUCAAUUGUUUUCCCAGCAUGGAACGAAUGGACUGGCCCCAAUCUCCUCCACCUCUUCUUUCCCGCUCCAGUGCUCCAUUUUGGAUAGCCAUUCCUCCUCUUUCAACGAGAUUCUCUUCAGUUAAAAAUAAAUAAAUAAAUAAACCACCGCCAACCCUAAACCAAUUCACCCAAAUCCGGCGACUAGCUCCACAGCACACGCGAGAACCGCGACGCACCACCAGUCCAUCCGCGCAUUUUCCAUAACCCUAUUUACGGAAGAUUUUGAGGGUUUUGUAUCCAGGCUCAAACGUUGUUCGUCGCCUUUCAAAUCCCUCUAUGCUCACGCUAUGCAGUGGAAUGGACGAGAAUGUUCUGGGUUCCAGUGCUGAACUCUUUUUUGCUCCAAUUGAUGCUUCUUUUGCUGAUGAUGCACCUCUUCUACCUUCUGGUUUAUGCAUCAUUCCUUUUGAUUACGGGAAGCAACAAGGAGAAAUGAGUCGGCCGGAGGACUCUGAAAGAUGAUUAUUGUUGUUGCUGCUAUAGAUAUGCCGGCGGAUCCUUCGGAGGGAGAGUUAGGCUUGGAUUGAGAAGUGGGAUAAUCCUCUGCAAUGCUAUCAAGAAAGUUCAAAUUGGAGCUGUGCCCAAGGUCGGCAUUAUUCAUGCUAUCAAAAAGCUCCACAGUGAUCUUCUAGCUAUGGAUUAGCGGUUUCACUUAUGCAUCCGUCCAAGAAAUCUGUUGUCAGAUAAUGCCUGCAGCUCGGGCUUUUCCUUUAGUAAAGCUGAUUGAUACAUUGCAAGACUACCAAGAGAACACUCAACAAAAAAUUUUCAUUGAAUACAUAAUGUUUGAUGGAGUGACUGAUGAAGACCAACAUGCAUACCUACUCGGUAAAAACUCGGGAAAUUGCUAGGGACAUUUCAAGUGGAAGAUCCGAGUUAAUCAACCGAUCAACGACGAUCCAAGUUGCAGAAAGAUCACGAUUUGGAAGGGGGACAUGGUGUUGAAUAUAUGGAUUUAUCAAGGGAAGGGGUUUGAUGGGGUUCCAGGGAUCGGGAUGGGGUUCCAGAUGAGAGAGACUUUAGCCAUGAUGUUAGCAAGGCGUCAGAUGAGCCGUCUCCUUCCUCUGUCGAUUUUAGGCCAGCCUGUGGAGUGGCUUGGGCUGGGUGCCAGUCUAUUCCACGGGCUGGAGUGGAUUGGCUGAGUCUCAGCUUGUUUUUUUCAUUGGGUGCCGGCCUCUUUUGCUUCCAGUGGAAAUGCUCUCGCAUGUUAGUUUUGAUCCAUUUCUAAAAAUCCCAUGCAUGGUACAAGAAAAACAUCUCUUUAGCAGCAAAGAAGAAGGAAGAGUGAAGCACUGAACAACAAUGUGAAAAGUUGGGACAUAGAAAACAAGAUAUUUUUCGUGUAUUAUAACCAUAUGGAUGUAAAUAAGAUAAUUUUUACGUAUGAUUUGUUCUUUAUAGAACAUAGGGAUGUAAAUGGAUUUUGAUAUGGAUGUAAAUAAUUUUUUACAAGUUUCACA